GGCCGCGGGAAUUCGAUUCAGGCCUAACACAUGCAAGUCGAGCGAACCCUUCGGGGUGAGCGGCGGACGGGUGAGUAACGCGUGGGUAACCUGCCCUGUACACACGGAUAACAUACCGAAAGGUAUGCUAAUACGAGAUAAUAUAUUUUAACCGCAUGGUUAAGAUAUCAAAGCUCCGGCGGUACAGGAUGGACCCGCGUCUGAUUAGCUAGUUGGUGAGGUAAUGGCUCACCAAGGCGACGAUCAGUAGCCGACCUGAGAGGGUGAUCGGCCACACUGGAACUGAGACACGGUCCAGACUCCUACGGGAGGCAGCAGUGGGGAAUAUUGCACAAGGGGCGAAAGCCUGAUGCAGCAACGCCGCGUGAGCUAAAGAGGCCUUCGGGUCGUAAAGCUCUGUCCUAAAGGAAGAUAAUG
rnacentral:rRNA from 1 species